rnacentral:rRNA from 1 species
CAGCCGCCACGGUAAUACGGAGGGCGCGAGCGUUACCCGGAUUUACUGGGCGUAAAGGGCGUGUAGGCGGCCUGGGGCGUCCCAUGUGAAAGGCCACGGCUCAACCGUGGAGGAGCGUGGGAUACGCUCAGGCUAGAGGGUGGGAGAGGGUGGUGGAAUUCCCGGAGUAGCGGUGAAAUGCGCAGAUACCGGGAGGAACGCCGAUGGCGAAGGCAGCCACCUGGUCCACUUCUGACGCUGAGGCGCGAAAGCGUGGGGAGCAAACCGGAUUAGAUACCCCUGUAGUCCCUGUCUCUUAUAC